UGAACUUCAAACACUAACUUCACAGAAUAAUUAUUGGUGAAUUAAUGAACGAAAAGGUAAAUGCAACUAAAAGAAUAUGAAUAAACCAUACAUACAAAUUUCACUCAACUUUACACCACCUAAAUAUUUGUGUGAUGCUCUCUCAAGAUAUUUGUUAACACUAGUUAAAAAGAUGGUUGAGACUUGAGGGGUGAAUAUUGCAUCAAAAAUCUCAAUGUGGAUAAGUGAAAGGAAGUCUAAUUACUUUGAUCAGCCUGCUUGGGGGCAGGCUGAUCAAAGUAAUGUGGAAUUGGUCCUUAUAGCUAGAGGCAUUUAGUAGGUUCUCAUUUACUAACAUUAUUAACUACUGACUUAAAAUGAUAUGCAAGUUCAAAAAAGCAACUCACAUUAUGCAGAGAUUAUGUUGUAU
rnacentral:misc_RNA from 1 species